UACGGAGGGUGCUAGCGUUAUUCGGAAUUAUUGGGCGUAAAGGGCGCGUAGGCGGCUUGGCAAGUGGAUGGUGAAAUCCCUCGGCUUAACCGAGGAACUGCCGUCCAAACUGCUUCGCUUGAGACCGGGAGAGGUGAGUGGAAUUCCCAGUGUAGCGGUGAAAUGCGUAGAUAUUGGGAGGAACACCAGUGGCGAAGGCGGCUCACUGGACCGGUACUGACGCUGAGGCGCGAAAGCGUGGGGAGCAAACGGG
rnacentral:rRNA from 1 species